CUGACUGUCCUAAUAACCUAUCACUUAUGAGUCAGCGAGUCAUUUACGAGUCUGUCAUUAGGUAGCAGAGAGUACCGUUAGUCCGCGACAGGUCAAAAAGGCACUACGAAUGCCUCCGUCUUUACGAGCCUAAACCCAAGGUAAAUGCGCCGUGAUUAUCGCCUGGCUCAGACGAGUGCCGUACUUAAUUGUGUAUACAAUGUCAUGGCAUCCGUCUCUUGUUUGCAUCGCAGUGCGGUCUACUGUGGCAUCCAUUGCAACGGAUCGUGCCUGUGGCUGAAUUACCGCGCUGGAGGCCAAUACCAAUGGAACUCGCUGUGGGGUUUUGGAUGUCAGAAUUCGCAAACCGUAUUCCACUUCAUGAACUUCGUCGUCUGCUUUCAUCGCAACCGCGCCUAUACUGCUACAUCCACUUCUGCUGCUUCCUCAGAAGAAGCCGAGUCGACGCUGAGCAAAGAAAGGAGCCGAAAGCUAUCAGGCCAGCAUUAUUGCGCUUGCCGCUACAUCCACUACAGCUGAUUUCCAAA